GUCUAUUCUGCGGGCCACGUCCGCAGCCUUCAGGGGGCCUUGGUCUUGUAAUACGUCAAACACCUGGAGCUUGCAAGCCGUGAACAGCGCCUGUCCGGGAAGAAGAGUUCCCGUCAGACGCAGGACGUGACCUGUCAGGAGACAACAGAGGUGAACACAGGGCGGAGAGGCCAGACAGACCCCGGAUGGAUGACGGAUGAGCGGUGCGUAGACAGAACAAGAGACGGACAGACAGACGCCAGAAGUGCAGCGCGGCCCAGUCGAGUGAUGGGGGGACGGCCAGAUGAGAGCCUGGGGUGCAGCAAAGCAGAAGCAGCCUUCAUUCCGAGUCUGAGCUUCUCCCUCCUGAUAGGAGGGCCACACCCACGGCAUAUGGAGGUUCCCAGUCAGAA